rnacentral:rRNA from 1 species
CGCGGUAAUACGGAAGGUCCGGGCGUUAUCCGGAUUUAUUGGGUUUAAAGGGAGCGUAGGCCGGAGAUUAAGCGUGUUGUGAAAUGUAGACGCUCAACGUCUGCACUGCAGCGCGAACUGGUUUCCUUGAGAUACGCACAAAGUGGGCGGAAUUCGUGGUGUAGCGGUGAAAUGCUUAGAUAUCACGAAGAACUCCGAUUGCGAAGGCAGCUCACUGGAGCGCAACUGACGCUGAAGCUCGAAAGUGCGGGUAUCGAACAGGAUUAGAUACCCUGGUAGUCCGCACGGUAAACGAUGGAUGCCCGCUGUUGGCCUGAAUAGGUCAGCGGCCAAGCGAAAGCAUUAAGCAUCCCACCUGGGGAGUACGCCGGCAACGGUGAAACUCAAAGGAAUUGACGGGGGCCCGCACAAGCGGAGGAACAUGUGGUUUAAUUCGAUGAUACGCGAGGAACCUUACCCGGGCUUGAAUUGCAGAGGAAGGAUUUGGAGACAAUGACGCCCUUCGGGGCCUCUGUGAAGGUGCUGCAUGGUUGUCGUCAGCUCGUGCCGUGAGGUGUCGGCUUAAGUGCCAUAACGAGCGCAACCCCUCUCCUCAGUUGCCAUCAGGUCAUGCUGGGCACUCUGGGGACACUGCCACCGUAAGGUGUGAGGAAGGUGGGGAUGACGUCAAAUCAGCACGGCCCUUACGUCCGGGGCUACACACGUGUUACAAUGGCAGGUACAGAGAGACGGUCCCUUGCAAAAGGGAUCAAAUCCUCAAAGCCUGUCUCAGUUCGGACUGGGGUCUGCAACCCGACCCCACGAAGCUGGAUUCGCUAGUAAUCGCGCAUCAGCCAUGG